rnacentral:rRNA from 1 species
AUUGAACGCUGGCGGCAUGCUUUACACAUGCAAGUCGAACGGUAACAGGCCGCAAGGUGCUGACGAGUGGCGAACGGGUGAGUAAUGCAUCGGAACGUGCCCAGUCGUGGGGGAUAACGCAGCGAAAGCUGCGCUAAUACCGCAUACGAUCUAUGGAUGAAAGCGGGGGACCGUAAGGCCUCGCGCGAUUGGAGCGGCCGAUGUCAGAUUAGGUAGUUGGUGGGGUAAAGGCUCACCAAGCCAACGAUCUGUAGCUGGUCUGAGAGGACGACCAGCCACACUGGGACUGAGACACGGCCCAGACUCCUACGGGAGGCAGCAGUGGGGAAUUUUGGACAAUGGGCGCAAGCCUGAUCCAGCAAUGCCGCGUGCAGGAAGAAGGCCUUCGGGUUGUAAACUGCUUUUGUACGGAACGAAACGGUCCUGGUUAAUACCUGGGGCUAAUGACGGUACCGUAAGAAUAAGCACCGGCUAACUACGUGCCAGCCGCCGCCGUAAUAC